rnacentral:rRNA from 1 species
GGUGAACGCUGGCGGCGUGCUUAACACAUGCAAGUCGAACGGUGAAGGCGGAGCUUGCUCUGCUGGAUCAGUGGCGAACGGGUGAGUAACACGUGAGCAAUCUGCCCCUGACUCUGGGAUAAGCGCUGGAAACGGCGUCUAAUACUGGAUACGAGCUGCGAAGGCAUCUUCAGCAGCUGGAAAGAACUUCGGUCAGGGAUGAGCUCGCGGCCUAUCAGCUUGUUGGUGAGGUAACGGCUCACCAAGGCGUCGACGGGUAGCCGGCCUGAGAGGGUGACCGGCCACACUGGGACUGAGACACGGCCCAGACUCCUACGGGAGGCAGCAGUGGGGAAUAUUGCACAAUGGGCGAAAGCCUGAUGCAGCAACGCCGCGUGAGGGACGACGGCCUUCGGGUUGUAAACCUCUUUUAGCAGGGAAGAAGCGAAAGUGACGGUACCUGCAGAAAAAGCGCCGGCUAACUACGUG